AAGUCGUAACAAGGUUUCCGUAGGUAGCAGUGUUUUGCCUACCAAAGCGUCCCCCGCGGGAUUGCUAGUCUCCCUCGUUGGAGGCGACAUGCUCAGCAUGCGGGAAAGCCCUGUCGAGGGAAAUCCGCGGCCACCCCCUUACCCGGGGGUCGGUUCAGAGGCUCGAUGAGCGUGGGUCUGACUAGCCGGCCAGGCUUAAGAUAGAGUCCGUCCCUGCUGGAAACUCCAGGGAGAUGACGGAACCUGCGGAAGGAUCAUUACAGAAAAUUGGUGCCCCUCGGGGCAACCAAUUGAAUCACCCUUUGCAUAUCACGAUUACAAGUUGCUUCGGCAGGAUCUUACCUGCCGAACGCCAAAAACCCUUGAAUUUCUGCCGUCUGAGUACUAUAAAUAAUAGUUAAAA
rnacentral:misc_RNA from 1 species